GAUGAAGAACGCAGCGAAAUGCGAUAAGUAAUGUGAAUUGCAGAAUUCAGUGAAUCAUCGAAUCUUUGAACGCACAUUGCGCCCGCCAGUAUUCUGGCGGGCAUGCCUGUUCGAGCGUCAUUUCAACCAUCAAGCCCCGGGCUUGUGUUGGGGACCUGCGGCUGCCGCAGGCCCUGAAAUGCAGUGGCGGGCUCGCGGUCACUCCGAGCGUAGUAGUUACAUCUCGCUCUGGGCGUGCUGCGGGUUCCGGCCGUUAAAAGCCUUAUUUACCCAAGGUUGACCUCGGAUCAGGUAGGAAGACCCGCUGAACUUAAGCAUAUCAAUAAGCGGAGGA
rnacentral:misc_RNA from 1 species